AACGAACGCUGGCGGCAUGCCUAACACAUGCAAGUCGAACGGGAUCCUAGCUUGCUAGGUGAGAGUGGCGGACGGGUGAGUAACACGUGGGAAUCUGUUUUUUGGUUCGGGAUAACCGCGGGAAACUGCGGCUAAUACCGAAUGCCCUCGAGAGAGGAAAGAUUUAUCGCCAGAAGAGGAGCCCGCGUCCGAUUAGGUAGUUGGUGGGGUAAAGGCCUACCAAGCCGACGAUCGGUAGCUGGUCUGAGAGGAUGAUCAGCCACACUGGGACUGAGAUACGGCCCAGACUCCUACGGGAGGCAGCAGUGGGGAAUAUUGGACAAUGGGGGCAACCCUGAUCCAGCAAUGCCGCGUGAGUGAUGAAGGCCUUAGGGUUGUAAAGCUCUUUUGCCAGGGAAGAUGAUGACUGUACCUGGAGAAUAAGCCCCGGCUAACUUCGUGCCAGCAGCCGCGGUAAU
rnacentral:rRNA from 1 species